rnacentral:rRNA from 1 species
GUGAGGAAUAUUGGUCAAUGGACGGAAGUCUGAACCAGCCAUCCCGCGUGCAGGAAGAAGGCGCUAUGCGUUGUAAACUGCUUUUCCAGGGGAAGAAAACCUGCUACGUGUAGUGGUUUGCCGGUACCCUGGGAAUAAGCAUCGGCUAACUCCGUGCCAGCAGCCGCGGUAAUACGGAGGAUGCGAGCGUUAUCCGGAUUUAUUGGGUUUAAAGGGUGCGUAGGCGGACCGAUAAGUCAGUGGUGAAAACCUGCAGCUUAACUGUAGAACUGCCAUUGAUACUGUCGGACUUGAGUGUGGUCAAGGUAGGCGGAAUGUGUAAUGUAGCGGUGAAAUGCUUAGAUAUUACACAGAACACCGAUUGCGAAGGCAGCUUGCUGGACCAUUACUGACGCUGAUGCACGAAAGCGUGGGGAGCAAACAGGAUUAGAUACCCGAGUAGUCC